UACGAAGGGUGCAAGCGUUAAUCGGAAUUACUGGGCGUAAAGCGUGCGUAGGCGGUUCGUUAAGUCUGUCGUGAAAGCCCUGGGCUCAACCUGGGAAUGGCGAUGGAUACUGGCGAGCUAGAGUGUGAUAGAGGAUGGCGGAAUUCCCGGUGUAGCGGUGAAAUGCGUAGAGAUCGGGAGGAACAUCCGUGGCGAAGGCGGCCAUCUGGAUCAACACUGACGCUGAGGCACGAAAGCGUGGGGAGCAAAC
rnacentral:rRNA from 1 species